UACAGAGGUCUCAAGCGUUGUUCGGAUUCAUUGGGCGUAAAGGGUGCGUAGGUGGCGCCGUAAGUCAGGUGUGAAAUUUCGGAGCUUAACUCCGAAACUGCAUUUGAUACUGCGGUGCUUGAGGACUGGAGAGGAGGCUGGAAUUUACGGUGUAGCAGUGAAAUGCGCAGAGAUCGUAAGGAAGACCAGUGGCGAAGGCGGGUCUCUGGACAGUUCCUGACACUGAGGCACGAAGGCCAGGGGAGCAAACGGG
rnacentral:rRNA from 1 species